rnacentral:rRNA from 1 species
GUCCACGCCCUAAACGAUGGAUACUCGACAUCAGCGAUACACUGUUGGUGUCUGAGCGAAAGCAUUAAGUAUCCCACCUGGGAAGUACGACCGCAAGGUUGAAACUCAAAGGAAUUGACGGGGUCCGCACAAGCGGUGGAGCAUGUGGUUUAAUUCGAUGAUACGCGAGGAACCUUACCUGGGCUAGAAUGUAGUCUGACCGUGGGUGAAAGCUCAUUUGUAGCAAUACACAGAUUAUAAGGUGCUGCAUGGCUGUCGU